AGUGAAAAGGUGGGCAUUGAAAAGAAAGAUGUGGCUGGGAGGGAUCACUGUGAUGAUGGAUGCUGUAGACUGAUGGCUGUAACUGAGGUCUUCACUAUGUAAACACAUGACCACGGUGUGUUGACCCCUUUCAGUGCAUGGAAAUGGAAGGUAUACAUUCAGUAUAAGUAAUAUCUCGCACUGAGUGGAGCUGAGUUAUUAAAAAAAUGCACCUGCUAAAAAUUAAGGUGAGUGUUACUUAGUGAAUCAGCCUUGACUUAUCUCAUUUUUUAUUGUUGGACUGAUGUUACGUUUGAUUUUUUGUUUCAAAAGGUGUUCGGUGACAUUGGUGGCAGAUAAAUAAAUAGACUGACAGCCCGCCAGUGGCUGGAACAUGUGGCACUUACAGGCCACUGAAAGUAGGGAGAGGUAUAAGGUAACAACCUGUCCUUGUCACCAGGGUCACCGAGAUUACAUGUGCAAACAAACGUUUUUAUCAGUCUCGUGUGUUGGCAUGUACCCGCUUAACGAAAUGAAACAGUCUUUGAUACGAGCAGCGAGAAAGGCGCACUCGGCGAUAAAACUCAACCCUGACCUGUAGUGAACUUCAACGUCGCUGGAGGUCAUGCACUGAAACCAUGGCAUGCCACUGUCACUGAAACCAUGGCAUGCCAAUGCCAAUGAAGCGGACGGACUCUGGUCCACGGAAUAUGACACGAGUGUCAAUCUGGACGUCAGCAAGAACCAGUUCUUCUCCUUUGGCACUGGAGACAUUGUCAUGGCAGCAGGUUUACACAAUUAAUUUGUCAUAAUCAUUUCUUGGCUCACAAAUAACUAUUAAUUCAUAUGUAAGCUCAGUAUGUGUAGCUUUUAAGAAGAAAGUUCUGCAACAACUGUCAUGGAAGUUGAUGUGACAAUGAUAAUUACGACAACAGUGGGCUGACAUACACAAGACCUACAGGGUGGAAGGUGGGGUUUGGUGACAAUGACAAUGACAAUGACCAACUUUAUUAUCUCGGUUGGCAGUUAUACUUAGGAAGUGUGCUCAGUUACAAAAAUUUUUAAAAAAAGACAAAACGAAUGCUAUUUAUCAAGAUACCGCAACUGAUGCAUCAAAGGAAACUUAAAAACAUGCAAUCUGACAUCUAGACUACUUUAACACACACCUACAUCAUUAUCACACACAUACACAAGUGACAGUUCAUCCGUGGUGGAACGUAAACACGUUUAAAGGCACUUUGCAGGAAAUGGCGGAAGUGGACAUGGAAUGUCGCGGAACUGACGCCAUGGGUGUGACGAACAUGACGUCACCACGAUGAAGGCGCGAAACAACUAAAAU